UACGUAGGGUGCAAGCGUUGUCCGGAAUUAUUGGGCGUAAAGAGCUCGUAGGCGGUUUGUCACGUCUGCUGUGAAAACUGGAGGCUCAACCUCCAGCUUGCAGUGGGUACGGGCAGACUAGAGUGCGGUAGGGGAGAUUGGAAUUCCGGGUGUAGCGGUGGAAUGCGUAGAGAUCCGGAAGAACACCGGUGGCGAAGGCGGCCCGCUGGGCUGUGGCUGACGCUGAGACGCGACAGCGUGGGGAGCAAACAGG
rnacentral:rRNA from 1 species